GCCUUCCACGCCUUCCCGGAGUCUCCGAGCGCACGCGCCACCUGACUAGCGCGGUCAUUGGCUGCUGCCUGUUGCUAACCCACGUGACCGGCGCCAGCGCGCUCCGCCCCUGCCCCUGCUAGCCUAGUGCUUUCCUGCGGACGUGCGCUGCUGCCCAGCCUCAGGCUCCAGUCCUGCGCUGGCUGCUGCUGGCUGUCGUCAGCGAUGCCGCCGCCGGCCACAAGGUGGCAGUGCCGUGCUGCGUGGCUACACGCCCCUGGAAGCACCGGACCAGCCUUGGUCUGGCAAAAGUUUUCCAGUCUUUCCAGCAGAUGCGCCCAGGCCGUGAGCCCUCCCGGGCGGCCUGGAGGCAAGGGAUCGGGUGGGGGUGGGGUAGCCGCCGAUGUCCUGGGUGGCUUUGGGGGCGAUUUGCAAAGGCAUGCAUUUGUUGUUAAGAGCUCGGAGAAACAGUUUGGGGGAGCCUGUCACAGAUGCAAAGUCUGUUGAUAUUUCCAGGAGUGUUUGGUUUGGUUUGGGCUUUAGGGACCUACAGCAAGCAUCGAUUCUCGUGGAGGCGAACAACACUGACAGCUACUCUUUGUCUCUCGUCGGGAUUCUGAACAGAGCCCGACGUCGCUUCCAUUUCAGAGAUAUAUGCCGCUGACACUACCUUGAGAGAGCUCCUGCCUCCAUGGUUCCUGACCUGCCUAGAAGGGGAGGGCGCAGGAGACUCUUGUUCUACAGCUGUCCUCGGGAUGCCCUCAAUUCCCAGGCGCAGGGAUAAGCUUGUCUGACCCCAUUUGACCCCGCCGCAGGCGCCAGGCGUCCUCAUUUAUUGCGAGGCCUAAGAGUCCUCAAGGCUUACUGCCUGCCUACCCCCCUCCCCCACCACCCGCCGCUCUUCGUUUUUUGGUGUUUUGUUUUGUUUUGUUUUGUUUUUCCUCUCCUUGUCCUGUGCGGGAAUCAUAUGCCUCCUUCCUGUUGUCUAAGCUCCCCUCUUCCGUAGGCACAAACCUGCCCCCUCUGCGUUUUUUACCUUAAAACAGGUGUUCUGAGGAUUGUCUCUAGUUCUGGCGACGUCUUGAAAGAACUGAGUCUGAGCGAGGCAGACAGACGGCAGCAUUAGUGGUGAUGGAGCUGCACUGCUAAAUGUGGAGAUGGGAGGGGAAACACACCUGGGCUUCCACAGGGCAGGAGAAGAUCUGUCACUUGGGCAGAGCCUUUGAGUCGCACUCAGGUGAUCUCCAGGUAUCUUUUGUCUGUUUUAACCUGACAUUCAUUUGCAUCUAACAGGACUCCCGAAAGAAGCCUGGUGUAACUGAGUCUGGAAUUUUUGCUGGGCUUGCUAGGUCUACACUCUCCCACCUGUGCUCCGAGGAGAGGUGUAGACUAUCUCUUGGAUUUUGCUUGGAGGAUGUCCUUUCCGGACUCAGGACCUAGGAGAGACCAGCAGGAAACAGAACAGAGUCUACAUAGGAGAUGUCCAGCAAUGGGGAGAGAAUUGAAAACCCCACAAGAUUAUUCCCCCAGGAGUGAGCCAGCAUGGAUGCAUUGCCAUAUUCCAGGUAUAUCACCACUCAGGCACAGUUGAACCUACUAGACCUACUGUGGUCUGAAUGUUGUUUCCCAUUCCCUAAUGUAUGUUGAAACCCAAUAUAUAAUGUGAUCAUAUUAGGAGGUGCGGUCUCUGGAGAUGUGAUUCAGUUAUGACUCAGAUACGCCCUUAUAAAGGAGGUGAUUGAAAAGGGUUGUCUUGGCCCCUUCAGUCAUGUGAGGAACACCCACACGUCACCACCUAUUCAGCAAGGAGUGGGCCCUCACCAGGCACCAAAUCUGCUAGCACCUUGGUCUUCAAAUUCUCACCCUCCAGAACAGCGAGUGAGCAAUACAUUCUCUGCUCUUCAAGUUUCCCCGAUUAAGGUGUUUUAUUACAGACAACAGACUGGGACAAAAGGCCUGAGUCACAGACCAGUGAUUGGCAAAACAGAGAAGCUGAAGCAACUGUACAGCAAGCAGGAGCUCACACACGGGAGCCUACCUCUGGGAAUGCCGAGAAGUCAAUGCAAUGGUCACAUCUCAGGUUGUCUGGACACACAGACGGUUCACAAAUCCCGGGAUGGACCAGGAAGGCCAUUCAGUGAGAUUGUGUUGAACUGGGGAGUGGUGACAGUAAACAUUGACAUUAUGGUCCUACAUACAUAUCAUACGUUCCAUUAGUGUCCUACAUAAGUUAUAACCUGCUUACUCCUCCCAGUGCCCUUGAGAGAUCAGCCUGCUAAUUCCCACUCCAGAGUCAGGGAAGCUAAGUGCUGGGGACUCAGGAAACUUGACUGCGUUUAUAGCCAGUGAGUGGCAAAGCUGAUGUUUGAAUCCGUGUUUCGUGUUUCAGAGUCUUGGGAAGCUACGGUUUUUGUCCAUGGGGCUGAGUUGCUACACCACCCUAGAUGGUGGGCUGAGGGGCCUCUUCUGAUGAACUCCCUUCAGAAUGCAUUCCCUUCACAUCUGUUACCUCUUGCGGUGUGGGUCGCUGCUCUGUGGAAGUUGGACAGAACCCUUGGAACCUCCCGUGUGAUUCUGAAGUCUAGUGCAAACUCCAGUCAGUAAACUAAGAGAAACCAUUUUUAGUCAAAGGAAGCAAGGAACACUCCAACCAGCCCAGACUGACUUUCUUCUGUGGUUAAAAAUCUGGAUCUCCAUGUAAUUGCAACUGGGAAGAUCCUGCUGGAAGAUGUGCCAAGGUAGCCCCACAUGUUCCAAAGGGAUCGAAACUCAUUUGGAAGGGUAUGUUCUGAGAGAGAGAGAGAGAGAGAGAGAGAGAGAGAGAGAGAGAGAGAAGAAGAAGAAGAAGAAGAAGAAGAAGAAGAAGAAGAAGAAGAAGAAGAAGAAGAAGAAGAAGAAGAAGGAAGAACAACAAGAACAACAAGGAAGAAGAAGGAGAAGAAGGAGAAGGAGGAGAAGAAGGAGGAGGAGGAGGAGGAGGAAGAAGGAGAAGAGAGAGAAUUUCUUCUACUACUUCUUUAUAUUUAUGUAUUUAUUCUCUUUUGCACUUAGUGUGUAACUUGGUGCCUUACAUAAACCAUGGAAUAAUUAGGCUUUCUUCAGGAUGUAAGGAAAUUCCCUACAUCAGAGGACCUUACUAUCCAAGCUAAGGUAAGAAUGAAGUCCCAGCCGCAAGGGUGAUGGAAGGGAGACGAUGAAGAUAACAUAUGGUGGGAACAUCUCCAGGGAUGAUGGGAGAUACGGCUACAAAUGCUGCAUCCUAGGAGGAUGAAUUCUUUUCCUGUCUGCCAGUGAUCUCAGUUUUGUCAAUCAUUUCCAUGUACCCUCCCACUUCCUACAACUGCACUUAAGCCUUAGAAGAAAUAGGACAGGCAGUCUGGACAACGAGUGACACCAGGGAGUCCCUAGGUGUGUAUUUCCUUGUAUGUCUCUGUAAGUGUGGUCCCCAGCAUCCUAAUGGUUUGAUUUUGGCAGUAACUGGCUUUCUUAGGCACACCACCACUGUCGUUGUGGCAUGCUCACUAAACAUGGACUCCCUGUUCUUUGCUAAUCAAAUCUACCUGUAUACUCAGAAAUGCCACGAGUAGUCUAAGGCAGGCAUUGGCUAUGCCUACCUGUCACCUCUUUGGGAAAAAUAAAGUUUUAUUAGAACACAGGCAUGUGUAUGUUUUCCUAUUGUCUAUGGCUAUGUUCAUGCUGUGAGAGCAGAAUUGAGACUACAUGGAUACAAAAAGUAAACUAUUAAUUAAUUGGUCUUUUACGGAAAACAUUUUUAGAUCUUUGAUCCAGAGCAUCCAUAGACAUUUUAUUUCCCUAUACCAAGUCAGUGUUAGACACGUAAAUACUUUGACCAUGGAAAUAAAAGGUAAAUUUGCUGGAAAUAUCUGAGAAAAAAAUCUUUUUUCUUAAUAAGAAAGGGGAAUGUGAGAAGAGAGCUUACUUUACAUCCUGUCAUGUGAGGACUUGAUGUCUGGAGCUGUGGCAGCCAUAUUAUGAUCAUGAGGGGGAAAAAAAAACCCACACAAACCUGAUUCUCCAAUAAUAUCAUGUAACGAGGCAAAGAAACCCGAGUGAGUGUGAAUUGUAUGUCACGGGCAUGGCCACAUCAAGGACUAGUGUCUCACACUCAUGGGAAUGGCAAAGGCUUCACCUAACUUCUGGGGUGCCAUCCUCAGAGGUAUGGCAGAGCCGGCCCCCUGAUCUGAGUGUGCAUGUUGACAGUGUGUCCAAGUGCAAAUGUUUACAAAUGAUGGCCAUUUCGUCCUCCCAGAUGUUUGUAGCUGGAGCCUACUCACCUACAGAGACCUCCUACAGAGGGGCUCUGCCCUGGCCUUUUGGGAUUCAGAGCUGAGGCGGGACACAGAGUUCGACAAAGCCAGAAGACUGAUAAUCUCAGACCUAACUGUACUGGGAGCUGGGAGCUGGGAGCUGUUGGCUUCAGGAAACUUAACCCUCUCUUGUUUAUUCUAUGGCCGAAAACUGCUGACUUCUUUUCGCUUUAACUCUGUGCUCUGGAGAAACUUAACUCUUUGUGCUUAAAUAAGCACUGGGGGUCACUUAACUCUUUGUUACUAUUCUGUGCUUUAAUAAACGCUGAGCAUUCUUCAACUCUCUUA
rnacentral:lncRNA from 1 species